rnacentral:rRNA from 1 species
ACGAACGCUGGCGGCGUGCCUAAUACAUGCAAGUAGAACGCACAGUUUAUACCGUAGCUUGCUGCACCAUAGACUGUGAGUUGCGAACGGGUGAGUAACGCGUAGGUAACCUGCCUGGUAGCGGGGGAUAACUAUUGGAAACGAUAGCUAAUACCGCAUAAUAUUAAUUAUUGCAUGAUAAUUAAUUGAAAGGUGCAAUUGCACCACUACCAGAUGGACCUGCGUUGUAUUAGCUAGUAGGUGAGGUAACGGCUCACCUAGGCGACGAUACAUAGCCGACCUGAGAGGGUGAUCGGCCACACUGGGACUGAGACACGGCCCAGACUCCUACGGGAGGCAGCAGUAGGGAAUCUUCGGCAAUGGACGAAAGUCUGACCGAGCAACGCCGCGUGAGUGAAGAAGGUUUUCGGAUCGUAAAGCUCUGUUGUAAGAGAAGAACGGGUGUGAGAGUGGAAAGUUCACACUGUGACGGUAUCUUACCAGAAAGGGACGGCUAACUACGUG